rnacentral:rRNA from 1 species
UCUCCUGGAAAACGGGUGGUAAUGCCGGAUGCUCCAGUUGAUCGCAUGGUCUUCUGGGAAAGCUUUCGCGGUAUGGGAUGGGGUCGCGUCCUAUCAGCUUGACGGCGGGGUAACGGCCCACCGUGGCUUCGACGGGUAGCCGGCCUGAGAGGGCGACCGGCCACAUUGGGACUGAGAUACGGCCCAGACUCCUACGGGAGGCAGCAGUGGGGAAUAUUGCACAAUGGGCGCAAGCCUGAUGCAGCGACGCCGCGUGAGGGAUGGAGGCCUUCGGGUUGUAAACCUCUUUUAUCGGGGAGCAAGCGUGAGUGAGUUUACCCGUUGAAUAAGCACCGGCUAACUACGUGCCAGCAGCCGCGGUAAUACGUAGGGUGCAAGCGUUAUCCGGAAUUAUUGGGCGUAAAGGGCUCGUAGGCGGUUCGUCGCGUCCGGUGUGAAAGUCCAUCGCUUAACGGUGGAUCCGCGCCGGGUACGGGCGGGCUUGAGUGCGGUAGGGGAGACUGGAAUUCCCGGUGUAACGGUGGAAUGUGUAGAUAUC